AGCUACUUGACCACAAAAUUGUCCUAUCACAGAAUUAGACUUCUGAAGAAUAUAUGCUCCAAGGUGGAAUAGGUGGUUUGUCAAGACUAACCGAACCACAAAAGGCAUCAAAGUACUACUACGAUGAUACAUCUUUGUACUCCAGUAUGAAACUUUGCUCCCUUAAGAUGGGUCAAGAAGAACAGGCUUUGAUGGAUGCUCAACAUUGCAGGAUGCAGCACGAUGGUUGGGCAAAGGCCUGCUAUCUGGAAGGAGCUGCCCAGAUGUUACUCAAGGCCUAUGAAAAGCCAUGCAUGUGAUGUGUUUCUUGAUGCUCUUAAACUGGAUCCAGCAGAUGUUGGGAUCAAGAAAGCAUUAUGGGAUGCCGCAUGAAGACAUCGAUCUCACGGCAUCUAGUCAGAAUUGCCUUUUGCCAAGGAGAGACACAUUUGCCCAGGAGUGUUAUGACUUUUGCUAGUUCUCAUCAGUGCGCAACAGGGCUGCUGGACUUGUAGGUUUUAAGUCAUAACACAUGGCCUUAACUUAGUUUUGACGUGCGCGGAGUCUUAAUGCUACCGAAUAUCGAUAAAUCAAUUCGAAUAUCGAUAAAUCAAUCAGUUUCUAGUAGUGGGAUGUUGUAUUGCAACU